UACGGAAAGCAGCAGUGGGGAAUAUUGCACAAUGGGCGAAAGCCUGAUGCAGCUAUGCCGCGUGUAUGAAGAAGGCCUUAGGGUUGUAAAGUACUUUCAUCGGGGAGGAAAAACAAAACUAAUAAUUUUAUUUCUUGACGUUACCCGAAAAAGAAGCACCGGCUAACUCCGUGCCAGCAGCCGCGGUAAUACGGAGGGUGCUAGCGUUAAUCAGAAUUACUGGGCGUAAAGAGCACGCAGGUCGGUUAAUUAAGUUGGAUGUGAAAUCCCGGGCUUAACCUGGGAAUGGCAUUUCAAGACUGGUUAGCUAGAGUCUUGUAGAGGGGGUAGAAUUCCAUGUGUAGCGGUGAAAUGCGUAGAGAUGUGGAGGAAUACCGGUGGCGAAGGCGGCCCCUGGACAAAGACUGACGCUCAUGUGCGAAAGCGUGGGAGCAAACGAGGAUUAGACUACC
rnacentral:rRNA from 1 species